rnacentral:misc_RNA from 1 species
GCCCUCCGGCCACCGCCCCAGAUAUACCGAAAACCGCCCUUACGCCCUGCGCCUUUCAUCUGGCCGCCAGAUCCGAGCCAAAACUGGCAAUUCGAUCGCGCCUCCUUGACGUUAGCGGAGUUCGAAGACUUGAGAGCCGGGAAGCGGAAGGAUAGACGAAAAAGAGAAAAAACAUACACAUCGCAAUAGUAUAUAACGGGAAUAGCACAAGCGCAUGUACAUACGCAACAACGUUUAUCGUCAAAUAUCAAAAAACAAUCAAAAAACAAUUAAAAAAUACACACACAUACAUACAUACAUACAUACACAUAUAUAUACGGAAGAGAAGAUCGAUUAUUGUUGGGGAAAAGAAAGAAUUAGCUUAUAUUGGGUUGGAUUAAUUCUCGAUUCGUGCCUGGAAUUUUUAUACUCUCGAUCGACAUCGCGAAAAUAGUUUCUUUUUUUUUUUUUCAUCCUACUGUCCGACACCUAAAUCUGUACAAAUAUAACAACGCGGCGUGACGAUGCUGAUCGGUCUGGUUCGCGAUUCUGUGCUGCAAUGCUUUUGCCACAGCUGCAAAGCCCCUUUGGGCUUGGUUGCUGCAACACAACGGCGUGGUGCGCCAAUCACAAAGAAGCCUGCCGGCAAAGGGAAACCACGCACGAAACAGCCGAAAAAAGUCAAAUUUAUCACAACUGAGAUUCGAUGCCAGGAGAAGUCUAAGGGCGGCCUAUGCUAUGAAGUGAUUUUGGCCGAGCCGACGGUCCCAAAACGGACUUCCUCACCGCCGCAGCCAAGUCCGACUCAGCAGAUAGCGAUAGAAGACAAGCUGAGAGCAGCGGAAGAGAGGCGACUCUCCCUGGAGGCUCACAAAUUGGCUGCUCUCGCAACAAAGCUUGGAAAAAUUGAGGAGGCGUCUCGCAAAAAGGAUGAGCUAAGCGCUGCCUUUAUUUCUCAGACCCGCGAGGCUCUUGAUGCUAAAAUGACAAACACUGAGGAAAAACGAGAGGCUCACAUCGCGGACCUUAAGAGCAAGCUCAAGGAACAUUUGGAGAGUGUGGAAAAAACUCGCCUCAGUUUGGAGCAGCAGACAGAGGAGGUUCGAUGCGCAGUUGAAGAAAAGCUCAAGACUGCCGCAGCUCAGCGUGAUGAAAAUAUUAAGAAGAUGCUUGAUCGCCUGAAGGAACAUGAGGACCAAGUUGUUCGCGUACGGACAGGAAUGUCAGAGCGAGUACAGCAGCUCGAAUCCCAGAUUCAGGGCAAAUUGGAUCAAGCGCGCGAGCGGCGUGAGACAAUAGAGCGCGAGCAGAAGGAAAAGCUGCGUAAUCAUGUAAGUUUAACGGCUGACGAGUUAUUUUUAAUUAAGAUGCAUGUGUACUUGAAAUGUACAUAUAUUACAAGAGAGAUUUUUCGGAAGUGCGUCAAGUAGCCGAGGUCUUUGCGCUGAAGGCACUCGAGGCUAAAGAGCGAGAGCUCGCCAUGAGGCUGACUGCUGCUGAAAUCAACCGGCAGCGAGAGAUUCAGCGUCGUGUUCAGGCCAUUCGCCAGCAUGAGAGACGUGCUGAGAUAGUGAGGCAGAACAAAGCAGCACUUGCUGGACAAGAAUCAAAAACAGGGGAUCAGCCAAGCUCGCCGGUGGAAAAGGAGACUGCCAGCUCUGGUUAAAUUUCCUCUUUCCCUUUCUCAUUUAAUAAUAAAUAUCAUUUUCCAAUGUUCUAUAAAUAUAUUUUGCUAGGGCGUAAUGAUUGUUCCCACCAUGAUGUGUGUAGCGAAUUCGUACUGAUAACCCGCAGAGGAUUUAUUACACGUAAUGAAUGGGGAGGAUGAUUUGUGAUGAUGGUAACGUCAGCUUUCGGCGAUGUUCGAAUCUCAUGACAAAUAUUUACAGACGAUUCGACGAGUUGAUGGGUUACAAUUUCAUUCUUUUUUGAUUCACUUCGCGUUACCUGCUACUGUGUUUCAUUUUUCUCUUCGAAAUUACGCUUUCAUUUUUUCAAUCGUCACCAGUGAUCGCUUGGAUUAUAAUCUUUUUCCAGUACCGAAUUAUUGAGUCGAAGUUGUUCAAAAACAUACCAAGAUGAUUAUCUAGCCAUUCAUAUAAUUUUUAAAUAUAGUCAUUUUCAAUUUCGUGCAUUUUUUAUUUAUUUUACCUUUGGUUGUGUUCUAUUUCGUGAAUUAAAUACGAAAAAUGAAGAGGCCACGUUUACAAUCAGGAAGGACUUCAGUGAAUAUCCUCUACAUAACUUUAUCGCUUUUUACAGAACAAAGUAACGAUAUAAUCGCCUGCGAAAUAUAGAUGGAAUCACUAUUGAUAACCAUUAAAAUAACAGUUUAAUUUUUAUGCUUGUGACAAAAUGAAACUUAUUCACAAAAAGAAAAAAAAAAUCGCGCAUCUAAAUGUAUUUAUAGUUACGUAACAAUUUUACUUUGUUUCCUUUUGUUUCAUUAUAGUUAUAAAGCUUUGAAUUUAAGUUAUCAUAUCAUUAUUAUACUAUUAAUAUUAAGUGUUUUCCUUUCAUAAUUUUCACCUAUUUUGAUACGAAUUUUGUAUUUUUUUCUGCGAAUGAUCGUAAAAAAAAUUUGGAAAAGAAAUGCAAAAUAAGCUGAAGAAAAUUUUUCAAGCGUUCGCAGGAGAUUAAUCGAUAUCAUAGUAUGAAACUGAAGAAAUAAAUCUAUACUUUUAUUAUUAUAAUUUCUUUGUUAUUUAUGUUUAUCCGUUAUUGUUAUUAUUAUUAUCAUCAUCAACAACAAAUAGUGACAACAUAAGUAAUAAAAAAAAAUCACUACUAAUAAAAACUUGAAUAAUAAUAAUAAUAAUAAUAAUAAUAAUAAUUGUAAUGAUGAUACCUAACUGAGGAAUAUUGCUAAAAAGAAUUACCGCUACAAGGAGAUAAUAAAUAACGCGAUAAUAAAACCUGCAUACUGCUGAUGAUUAGACGUGAGAGACUAAAUUUAAAAAACUAAUACAAUAAUUUUACACUGCUGGCUUAAUACUUGAAUAAUGCGUCUAAUAUGGAGAUAAGAGGAAGAAAAGCGCGUGAAAGGAGAGUAUAAAAAUAAAUAAACGAAUAAUAUGAUACGAGGUAUAAAAAAAAGAUACACAAAUCAAUCGCGAGGAUGAUGAUAAGUAUAGUAAAUAAAUUCGUAUGAUGCUUUAUACUAGGCUUGAAACUUGAAACGUUUUGUACUCAAUUAUAAUAAUAUUAGAACGCUGAGAAAAGGGAAAAAAAUUAUGAAAAAAACCAACACUAUAUUAACACAAAUAUACAUAUGGAGUAUAUAUAUAAAAUAUAAUAAUUAUUACAAUAAAUAUAAUGCUUCUGUGAUGACUAAUUCACUAUAUUCUAUCACGUGUUUUACAUAGUUUCUAUAAGCGCAAGAUAAUAAUAAUAAUAAUUCAAUAAAAUUACCCAUUCGGCAGCUUCGCUCAUAUUGGAUGUGUUUCAAAUGUCGUAUUCUGGUGGGCUUUGAAAAAUAUUUCUGAAGUCGAGAAUAAAGAAAGAAGAACAAUUUGAGACCAAAAAACUCUUUGCGAAAUUUGAAAAAAAGUUGGCCGUAUCUUUCAUUACCAAAUCUAAUAGGAGUAAUAGGAUUAUGUCAUAUAAUGAAAUGUCCAGAUUUGAGCCUUGUAGACAAUUAUACACGUUGCAUUGUUUCAUGAAGAGAAAAGAGCUGUUUUUUGUUUCAAGUUGAAGACUAUUCUUAUUGGCUCAUACCCGAUCUCAUGAUCAGCUUUUGAUUUAAAAGCAGCAUGGCCUUUAUUAUGCUGAGGAUUUCCGUUUUACUUGUUCUAAGAUGUCGAGUAAAAGUAGAUUAUUCAACUUUAUGAUGGCUGUGAAUGUGCUGUAUCAAUCUGCUAGGUCGUGAUGGGGAGUUUGAAACACAAAUUCAUGUUUCGGAAUGUCAAAUUUGGGUAUGUUUCUAAUGUAAGAAAUUUUGUUCCAAUUUUUCAAAAUUAUGUCUGACAUCGCAGUUUUGAUUGCAGCCGUUUUAAUUCCAGUGCAUAGAAAGCUGAAUAAUAGAUUCUUCUUGCAUUUUGAUUUGAUGAGGAGAAACAUUGAAUGAUAAGAACCACUGAAAUGAGACAUUUUAGAGAUACCUAAUGUGUAGAAAUAUUCAUCGUCAACGGCAGUUAGAAAAGGGCGAUACGUGCACGCAGCAAGCCAUGAAAUAUUUUUUCCACAUUUAAAAUGUGCUAUGACGCACCUAUAUUCAGGAUGUUUCAUAGCCAAUGAAUAGGAAAAUUCAAAUAAAUAAUGAUAGUGUUUAUUAUUGUUAUCAUUAACGAUGAUCUAACAAUGACGAAAGGCUGAAAUUUUGCAAGGAUAGAAAAGAAAAGGAAUAAUGAUGAAAAAAAAAAAAAAUAGAAAAAAGUAAGAAACCUUCUGAAAAAGUAAGAUCAACG